AUUGAACGCUGGCGGCAGGCUUAACACAUGCAAGUCGAACGAGUGGCGGCCGGGUGAGUAAUGCUUCGGAAUCUAGCUUCUGGAUUGUGAUAACUACGGGAAACUGUCGCUAAUACCGCGUCCCAUCGUAUGAGCCCAAGUGGGAUUAGGUAGUUGGUGAGGUAAAGGCUCACCAAGCCGACGAUCUCUAGCUGGUCUGAGAGGAUGACCAGCGAAACUGGGACUGAGAAACGGCCCAGACUCCUACGGGAGGCAGCAGUGGGGAAUAUUGCGCAAUGGGGGCAAGCCUGACGCAGCCAUGCCGCGUGUAUGAAGAAGGCCUUCGGGUUGUAAAGUACUUUCAGUCGGGAGGCGUUACCGACAGAAGAAGCACCGGCUAACUCCGUGCCAGCAGCCGCGGUAAUAC
rnacentral:rRNA from 1 species